UACAGAGGUCUCAAGCGUUGUUCGGAAUUAUUGGGCGUAAAGAGCGCGCAGGCGGUCGUCCAAGUCGCGUGUGAAAGCCCCCGGCUCAACUGGGGAGGGUCACGCGAUACUGGUCGACUCGAAGGCAGGAGAGGGUAGUGGAAUUCCCGGUGUAGUGGUGAAAUGCGUAGAUAUCGGGAGGAACACCAGUGGCGAAGGCGACUACCUGGCCUGUUCUUGACGCUGAGGCGCGAAAGCUAGGGGAGCAAACGGG
rnacentral:rRNA from 1 species